CUUGGCAAGCGACAAUGACAAUGGUCGCAUUCGAGUUGUUGUUGUUGCUGCUGCUGCUGCCACAAAAGGCAGCCGCAGGGCAAUUGGCUGGCAGGUGUUGCAAGCCAUAAUUCAUAGUUGGCUGCUCAGUUCCUCGUGCUCGUGACAUGCAACAUGACUAACAGCCCUGCCGGUGGGCGAUCGCGGUUGCCAUUUGUCAUAAUUGGACGCGCGUGGAAGAUGCGCUCCCAACUUCCUUGUUGGCUGCCUGUCAAUGGGUGGCAAAUGACUGGAGCUGACAAAAAGUUGGCCAAACAAAGCGCACACAACACACAUUUUUUUGUGUGCCACAGCCUGAAACAACAACAAGUAGAUACUGCAGGCACAGUGGUAGUGUGUCCGCAUAUUGACGAAAUCAUUUUGGGCAAAAAUUAGCGUAGCCGGAUCCUUAAAUUUCGACAGUUAAUUGGCAUAUUAAACACAAUUUGCUAAGCAGCCUAAAAACUGUCUGGCAGCAUUUAAAAUCUCAUAAAAGCCUGAGCACGUCUGAGCGCAUUAUAUAAAAGAUCUGAUGGGAAUUUAAGCUAAUUGGCGUGGAAAAACUAAGCAAAUGAAAAGUUGGCUUGCGGUCUGCAUGUGAAGACCUUCAAGGCGAUAAGCAUCUGUAAAGCGAACCACUGUGCAGCGUCUUUUUGCCUUUUGGUUGUUACAAGCGGAACAACAGUUGAAAGCAAUAAAACUUGCACAAAAAAAUCACAAAAAGGCGGCGCACGACAAAAUGCACGCAAAUGUUGCAGUUGCAACACAUACACAUACACAUACACAGACACGGAGAUAGACAAAUAAAUGCCAUAAAGAAACGCUGAAUGAAUUAACAUACUUGUUGAUGAGCCGAACCACACACAGGCUGGAAGAUUCGCACGCACAUAAAAUAACUUAAUUUACAUUGGAGCUGCUGCUAGUCGCCGCCUCCGCCUCCGCCUCCUCGCAGGCUGUUGGAGUACUUAG